rnacentral:rRNA from 1 species
UAAGGUGGUUAUAGCAAUGGGGCUCACCUCUUACCAUUCCGAACAGAGAAGUUAAGCCCAUUAGCGCAGAUGGUACUGCAGAGAUGUGGGAGAGUAUGUCGCCGCCUUUU